rnacentral:lncRNA from 1 species
AUAAUUUCUUCAUUUUUUAGCUUAAUCAUAAACUUUGUGUAUUUCAGAUAAAGAAGUCAGGGCAAGAAAUGGCUGUCCGCACUCUGGACAAAACAUGAGCAUGCUUUGAUGGAACAUCAUUUAGUUCCCAGACUCCAGAUAGAAGUUCUUUGCAGAUGUAAAGUGAAUUGAUGAAAUCUUGAAAAAGUGUUGUGAGUGCUGGUGUUGUCCAGAUAUUAAAAAAAAUGGAGCAGCUGCCAGAUGGAUGUACUUUCCAGAUGUAAACCAUCACAAAUGAUGCCGGAUCAAAUUUGAUGUGUGAUUCAAAACAAAUCUUCAAAUUGACAAUGGCAAAAAGCAAAUGGAGAUGGAAUACUCAGUUGACGAAAAUGGUUAACAUGGAUAACUUUUGCCUGUGAAAAGUGCAAAGAUCUAUACAGUACUGGUCUGCUCAGCUUGGUCAGUUCACAAAUAUUUUGUUAGAAAAUCAGCAAAGCCACCGACUUGAAUACAAGCCAUCGACUUGAAUACAUUGGUUAUUUUCCAUGUACCAACAAUAUGGAAAUAAAAUUUGUUUAUAAAUUUGAAAGGCA